UGAGGAAUAUUGGUCAAUGGGCGGAAGCCUGAACCAGCCAAGUCGCGUGAGGGAAGACGGUCCUAUGGAUUGUAAACCUCUUUUGCAGGGGAGCAAGGCGCGGUACGUGUACCGCGAAGGAGAGUACCCUGAGAAAAAGCAUCGGCUAACUCCGUGCCAGCAGCCGCGGUAAUACGGAGGAUGCGAGCGUUAUCCGGAUUUAUUGGGUUUAAAGGGUGCGCAGGCGGACUGUUAAGUCAGCGGUAAAAUGUCGGUGCUCAACACCGGCCGGCCGUUGAAACUGGCAGCCUUGAGUGAGCGAGAAGUAUGCGGAAUGCGUGGUGUAGCGGUGAAAUGCAUAGAUAUCACGCAGAACUCCGAUUGCGAAGGCAGCAUACCGGCGCUCAACUGACGCUCAGGC
rnacentral:rRNA from 1 species